AGAUUCUAAACUAUUACAAACAUACAAGUGUUAUAAUUAACUUUUAAUCACAUACAUGUAUUCAACAUUUAAAUAUUUUUACAUUCUUUUCAUUCAUUUCUUUUCUUUUUUUAUUUUUAAAUUCUUUUCAUUCAUUUCUUCUCUUUAUACAUCACAUGAUCUCCAAAAUAAGCUUUUACAUUUAAACAUCAUUUAUACAUUUGUGAUCAUCAAAUACAAAAGAUGAUAUAUAAAGNCAAUAAGUAAGCUACUAUGAACACUAGUAAGCUACUAUGAACAACAACAACAACUAUGGAAGCAAGCUAUCAUGAACAACAAUAAUGAGUAUGACUCAAUAGGUAACCAAAUCUCGUGGUGAACUCGGGGUUCACGAACAUAUCUCACGUGUAAACCUCAUAGGGAAAGUCUCACUGAACUACUCCUCGAGACCGCCUGCGGACAGCACACAGACCGUCCAGACAGCACACUGACUGUCCCUCUAGUGACCAACCUCCGGAGUGCACAGCUUGUGGGGAACGACCCCUCCAAGCGCAGACAGGCUAUGUGAGCACGAUCAACUCACGAACAUCAGCAACCUACCCUCUAUGGGUAAUCUCAUCAUGGAAUCGAGGUGUUCUUGUACCCAAUCUCAUAGUGUAACAACUACACUAAUGUUCUCAUGCCAAGGUUAUCAACAAUCAUAUGCCUCACAUCAUAGUUUUCUAUAACUAGAUGCCACUUGUCAUAGUUUUCUAAACUAGAUGCCACUCGUCAUUUAGACUCAUUUUUAACACUAGUUUCAUCAUACUAGUUCUUUAAUCACAUAAACAUUAUUCAUCACAUAUAGGGUCUAGGUUCUCAUGCAUACUAGAUCAUGGAUCAAUCAUCAAGAUGUAUAGCUACUAGCAUGCAAAUAUAAGCAAUAACCAUAAUCAUCUAGCACCUAUAUACAAUAAAUAUAAUAUGCAACUUGAUCGAU
rnacentral:lncRNA from 1 species